GCGGCCCCCUGUGCCAGCUUCUCAUUGGCUCUGGGCGCGGGAGGCGGGGCCGAGGCCGCCGCCUCCGGGGCCGCGCCGAUUGGCCACGCACCCUGCAGUGCCGUCACUGGCGACUCGCGGCGGGCAGCCCGGCUAGUCGCGGGCGAGGUGGGGCGGGGACUUUGCCGGCCAGCUGGGGCCUGGGGUGACGUCGGGAAGGUGGCGGGAGGGGCUGGCUGGCGGGCCGCGCCGCGCCGCGCCGCGCCGAGGGGCGUGUGAGGUCCGGCUGGGGAGGUGGGGCUAGCUUCAGAGCGCGGGAGAUUUCGGCGCCGCGGGCUGUCCGGCCUCCUCCUCUGCCGCCUGCUAGCCCCUCCCCGCGGCCCGCGGAGUGCCCCCCAGCGCCAGCCCCCUAGGUCUCUGGAACCCUAAACCCCCACUCCCCUGGGAGGAGCUCCUGUGAAGCCCACUUCCCACUUAAAUUCCACUCCCGGGUUCACAGGCUUCUUCAUCUGUCAGACCCUCCGACCUCCCCCAGGACUAUGACUCAAGCCGCCCCUUCCUCCCGCGGUGCUCACCAGUGACUCACACCUUCGGCUUGUCCGGCAGAGGUGUUGCUCAGCCCUGGGCUCUCCCGCCAGGCCUCCCCUCCCCUCCCCUCCCCAGCCCAGGGUCUUCGGGAGUUGUCCACGUAGCGCUUGUGUCUCCAGCCCCUCCCCACCCAGGAUCCGAGACUAUUCCUUGAAUUCCUUGUUUUGGGGUCCCAUUCUUUAAAUGAUCGGGAGGAGUUGGGAGAGAUAACCCCUCCCUAAAGCAACACUGGUUUGCAGAGCUGAUCUAAAUGUUUAUGGGUUCCUACCGGUACUGAGGGGCGCAGAGACCUGAUUUCAAUAGCAUGAACAAUACACCCAAUCUUCCUUUACUACUGGAGCUGCCCAAAUCGGAGAAAUCAGUGUUUAAAUCAAAGGGCACUUCUCUUGAGCCCCUACCGAGUCCAGUGUUUUGAGCUAAGGGUGAUAGUGAAGAAAAGAAUUCAUUUUUGCCUCUAAAGGACAGUGGUAGGAAGGAGGUUCCACAUUAGGUGAGAGAGUACUACACUUCGGGCAGCCCGUAGGGAAUUUAAUUUCCUAUUGGCUAUCCUGAAGUUCUGCUCUCUGGAAAUUUACUUAAAACAUUUGCUUUUAAGUGAAUGAUUUUAAGCUUUAGCUGUAUGUUAGAAUCCAGGCCAGUGGGUCCAGAAUCUCUGGGCUGAGACCCCGGGAUCGCUAUGCAAUUGUGAUUGCCAGCCAAGAUCUUUUAAAGGAUUCUAACGAAUUGGUGGAGAAAACUCCCUUAGAAAGUUUUAGCUGUGUCAGUGAUGCGUUCUUGACAAGAGGUCUACAGACCUAUCUUUGUAGAAUUGAUGUUUCUUAGAUGUGACAAUUUGUUGUUCUUAUGACACAUUAUUUCUUUAAAGAUAGACUGUUAUGUAGAUUAAUUUGGGGUAGUUCUUUUUUUUUUUUUUGCUUGAUAUUUAUUUAUUUAGGUCAGCGGUGGUCAUGUCUGGAUUCUGAGGAGUCUUUUUCCUCACUCAAAAUUAUUAAGAUUUUAGGAAUUACUUACCAAAACCAUUUUAUGACUAGGUUACCAGGGAAAUAAGAUGACCUGUCUAGAGGCUUGCUUAGGUAUGGCCUGAUCUCCAGUUACUUUUUAAAAAUCUGUGGUAUGUGUUUUAUUGGCAAUGACUCUGUAGAUUACAUAUAUUUGUUUAAUAAUUAUUAAAUAAUAGAAAUUCCAACGUAAGUCUACAGAUAUGUCAAGGUAGGGAGCUUGUGUUUUUGGUGAGGCAAAGCAUAAACUUAUUAUUUCAGGUUAUAAAUAAAACAAGUUAAUGGUGACAUCAACUGCUAGAAUAUGAAAUGUCAGCCUACCCUUAUUUUAAUAUUGUAAGUUUCCAGUCAAAAGGGAAGGAGAUUUUUAAGGGUAAGGAAUAAAGAGAUCCCCAAAUGGGAGAAAUUUCUGUAAACUUGGGGUGAUUAUCAGCCAUCCUGACAACUGAGACCAGUUCUGGUGUCCAGGAAGCCUCCAAAGUGGGAACUGCAUUUUCAACAGCAGGCCUGCCAGUUUGGAGAGUUCCUAAUGCUCAGCCUUUUGGGAAUUUAUGGCACUUAGAAACCCAUUUCCCAUGGAGAGAGUCCUGUUUGUUUUAUGAGUAUUCUCUCCCCAUAAGAAAAUAGCUCGGAUAUUGUAUAAUGGCAGCCCAUAGGAAUAUAGGUUUAUUUCCCAAGGAGAUUAGAUGUUGGAAGGUAAAGAACCUUGAACUUGAGUUGAGUGAAUUUGGGUAUUUGGUCUCCUACUACUUAUGUACACUUGAGUGAGCACUUAAUGUCUCUAAGCCUCGAUUUCUCAUCUAUAAAAUGGAAUAAUAAUGGCUGUUAAGAUAUGAUAUUAAUCACAACAGUUCUGACAUUAAAUUAUUUGGAAAUGAAAUGGAGGGGUGGAAAACCUUAAGUUUUGUUCACUCCCGAUUAGCUGUCAUUGCUUUGGCCCAGUUAACUGUGAACAGCCAGCUCCUGAUACCUUUCACUUCAGCUUAUUAGACCUGACCCUACCUCUGUUAAAUUCUGGGGGCAUAUUUGCUCAGAGCAUUUACAACCCCUUGUGAAAAAGGGUGAGGUUGGGAAAAUGGAAGACUUGAAGUUUCUCUCAACUAGGACAUGAAAUCUAGGUAAUUUAGUGUUUUUUUUUUAAGAUUAUUUUAGAGAGAGAGGGAGUAGGGAGAGGGGCAGAUGGAGAGAAUCUUCAAGCAGACUUCCCGCUGAGUGCAGAGCCCCACAUGGGGCUUGGGGCUCGAUCUCACAAACCCUGAGGUCAUGACCUGAGCCAAAAUCAAGAGUUGGUGCUUAAUUGACUGAGCCACCAAGGUGCUCUGGUAAUUUGGGAUUUUUGUUGUUCGUCAGAAGGUACUGCACAGCCUGGUCAUGACCUAUUUAUCAUAAUACAGGAGGCAAGACUCCUUAACGAGAGAGCAUCAGAAUCUUCUUCAGUCAUCUGCCACUUAAUGUAGCUGCCAACAUAAAAUGAUGGCUGUCUCUGCUUGUCACCUGCUCUCAUCAUCUGGUUUGCUGUGCUUUGGAAACCAGGCAGGGGUGAUGGCAGUGAGGUGUCCUCGUGGCUUUUUGCUCAAGGAUCCUACCAAGAAUCCCAAACCAGAACUUUUGCAGCUUAAGAAUCACUGACUGAAUUAUAAGAAGGUGCUGGCUGACCUUGGCUGCCAUGGCUGAACUUCGGGCAUUACAAACCUACACCAAAGACUGGAUUCAGGGGAAUGUCUGUUGAUUUGUUCAGCAGCAGGCACAACAAGUGCAAGAAUAGUUGAGUAGGAAGCAUCACAGUAGAUAAAGUAGGCUCCACACCCAGCUUGGAACCCAACGCAGGGCUUGAACUCACAGCCGUGAGAUCAAGACCUGAGCUGAGAUCAAGAGUCGGAGGCUUAACUGACUGAGCCACCCAGACGCCCCAAGAAUACACAAUUUUCAACAAUGCUGUAGUAUUUCACUUGAUCUGAGGCCAGGCCAGCUCUGGAGACACACAGUAACGUGAGCACAGAGUCGUCAAUAUGAUUUGCUUCAAUCGUUGAAUUCUGACAUAAUCCUGAAUUUUGAAAAAAAAUUGCUGCCUCCAGUUUUAUCUUUGGAAAGUGAGAUUUUUUUUUGCAGGUCAUGGCCAGACUUUGGUAGUGUUGAGUCAAGAUGUAUUGAAAGUUAAACCGAGAACGCCUUCUGGAGAUGGAGACUGUAAGGUCUGGGACUCGAUCCUUCCCCACUUACAAGCCAGUAAGCGAGCUUAUUGCUGUUUCGAGAGUGCUGACAGUACACACAGAGUGCUGGGGCUGAGAUGGAACACUUUCUAUUCGUGGCAGAGCAAGCAGCUCGAGCAUUAGCACAUUUGCUUCGGUUCUCCUUGCCUUUAAGUCCUGGGGUCAGUGUGGUAUGGCCCAGAUGAACGCUCUCCAUGCAGUGGGUUUCAGAUGCACCUGAGAAACACAGAGCUUGGGGGACUCACCACUUUUAUUAUUUUUUUAAAGAUUUUAUUUAUUUAUUUGAGAGAGAGAGUGUGCGAGCGGGCAGGGGCAGGAGCAUAAGGAGAAGGAGGGGGAGAACCUCAAGCAGACUUCCCGCUGAGUGCGGAGCGGGACCCGGUGCUCGAUCCCACGACCCUGAGAUCAUGACCUGACCCAGAAUCAAGAGUUGGAUGCUUAACCAACUGAGCCACUCAGGCACCCACCCCUCCCCCCUUUAAAAUAUUUUAUUUAUGAACCUGCCCCUUUUAGAGCAAGCAGCAAGCAAGCCUGCUCCUUGUCCCCAGGGAGACAUGACCUCAUCUCUCAGGGUUACUAGCUGAAUAGACAAUUCUGCCCCAGAGGAAGAUCAGACAGUGGGGAAAAAACUUUCGGUAAACGCUGGACGUGUGCAAAGCAACUGUUCGUGGAGACUGGAAAAGCCAGGAGGAAACCCCUCUGGCAAUCUGGGUGAAUGGGAGGUGGCAUUAUGCAGCGUGCCGCAAUUUGCAAAACUGUUGUCUGUAAUAACUUGGAAGACGGGACAUGCUGCUAAUAAACUUUUGGAUUUGGCUGAAGAAAUCACCCGACAGAACGUUGGAAGUGUCAGUUUGUUGGAUAUGUAUCAAAUGCAUAUGAUAAGGUAGAGGAAGACACAGAUGAGGUCCAAACGCAAACUCAUUAACUUGCAAGCAAAAUUUAGAGACAAUAUAAAGGAUCCAAGAGUUGCUGGGCUGGAAACUAAAAUUGCUUAUCUCCCCCAGUGUCCGUAGACAAUAAAAGAGUCUCAAAACGAAAUGAGGCCUGGGGCCAAGGUCCAAAUUAAGUGUGUGACUGUAAUGUCAUACUCAAGGUUACUGGAAGAUUGAAGGCAGCUCCAGCUAGACUCUCUCUCAGUAGACACAAGAGCAUUGUCCCACUACUGCCUGACUUAGGGCCCCAAAUAGAAAGAGACUUGUCUCAAAAAGAACUGUAAAUGUGACUUUUGCCCCCAUGAGUAGGCCUGUAUCAGAGUGACAGGAAACCCACAAAAUUUUAAAAAGAAUGUUGCCGGCAGAAGCGUUGCCAGGUUAGUCUAAAUGGGACAGAGACAUUCAAAAGGGCUCCCAACUCUCCGCAGGUAGGCGGCAGACUGAGAAAGCUACUCAGCUGCAAGAUGGGCCAUUUCUGAUGGAAAAGAGAAGUUGUUUCAAAUGGCCAAGCCAAGACCCCAGGGUGUAGAGCUAAGAGCCUCCGAGAGAAAUGGACUGGAUGCUUCUAUACCCAGGGAGCAGCAAUGGACCCGUCAAGAAACAUUCCCUCCUUCUGGUGCCUGCAUUUCAGAAUUGCCAUGCAACAGUGACUUCUAUGCCUCUCCCAAUUUCCCCUCUUGAUUAGGAGUAUCUACUGUGGUUAUCUUGCUUUACUAAUAUUUUGGGUGCAUCUGGGGGCAGAAAAUUUGCCUUUUUAAUUGAUGUAGUUAUCCAGACUGAGAGAAGCUGCACCUGAGGAUAGGUACGCAGGGAGCCUCGUUUAGACCUGAUGCAGAUGGUGAGAUCUCACACUUUGAGGAUGAUACCCCAAUUGGAUGAGACAUGUGGAGUUCCUGGGGUGGGGUGAGUGUGUUUUGCAUGAGGGAGGAAAAUAAAUAAUGCAUUCAGGUGGAAGAUGAUAGCUCGGGGAAAAAAAAAAAGGGGGCGUAUUUUACUGGCUUGCCCAUCAAGAAGUGGAGCUUAUUGUUCUGCUCUUCAAUGUGGAUUGGGCUUAUCAUGGGCUUUGAUGUAUGGGAUGCAGCAGAAGUGAGGUCAUAUGGCUUCCUAGCCUAGGGCCUGGGAGGUAUUACAGCUUCAGCUCUUGUCUUUUUGGAAUGUUGCCCUAUGUGAAAAGCCCAAGUGUGCCUGCUGAAGAUUUAUGGUCAGCCAAGACUUAAGUGAGGACAUUUCAUCCCAUCUGACCCGAGUAGUGCCACCGAAUAACUAGCCACAUGAAUGACCUUCGCAAAAAACCUGAUUGGCUUAGCCUUUGAAAUGACAAGCCUACAGAAUCAUGAAUCACAGCAAAAUAGUUGUUUUAAGCCACUGCAUUCUGGUGUGGUUUGUUAUGACCCCAAAGUAAUUGAUAUAAAAGCUCUUGAUGCAAAUUCACCCUGGGCAUAAAAUCCUUCCAGAAGAGCCUUGCACUUGGUACAACAUGGAAAACCGGAGUUGUGUCUACUAAAAGCUGGGCAUAUAGAGCCUAUUAUUCAGCAGCUCUGCUCUCAGGUAUACAAAACAGAAAUGUGUGUAUAUGUUCACCAAAAGAUAUAUGAAAUAAUGUAUAUUAGCAGCAUCUUUGUACUCCCGAACUGGUAACAUCCAAGUUCGCGUCAGUGGUAGAAUGGAUAAAUCAGUUGUGAUAGAUUCACACAACAGAAUGCUAUCUAUAUGGAAAGAAAACGAAGAAACUACUUCUUUAAACAAAUACAUGGAUAGAUCUCAAACAUAAUGCUAAGUAAAAAAGCCCAACCCAAAGCACAUUGUAUGAUUACCAGUUUAGAAUAUUGGAGACCUCUGUGGUGAAAGAGAUAGUAUGGCUGGACAGGGGCCCAUGUAGGGCUUCUGGGGGGCCAGUCACAAUCUGUUUCUUGAUAUGGAUGGGGAUUACAAAUGUGUGUUCAUUUUGUGAUAACUCAUCGAGUUGUAAACUUAUGAUUUACGUACUUACCUGUAUGUAUAAUUCAAUAAAAACAGUUUCUUUUGUUAAAAAAAAAAAAAAAAGGAUCUCAGAUUGAUAAAGGAAUUGGAGCUAGGGAGAAAUUUUUUUUUUUAAGGGAAAAAUUAUUUUUUUAUGCAAGAUCUAGGACUUCUUGAUUCAUACAUUCCAAUGUCUCAGGGGAGAACCUGGUUUUGUUUUGUCAAAUAUUCUCUCUCUGACAGUUCUGAUCACCCUUUAAUAAGUGUUUUCUUUCUAAAUCUAAAUCCUGCUUCAAGUACGACUAACAUCCUUUAUAUAAAAUUUGACCUAGAGUAAUCAAUGGCAGUACACAUCUUGUAAGGUUACUGGUCUAUAAAGAUGAAGCAAGAAUCUUUGGCUUUUUUGGGGGGGUGAAGGAGAGGAGGACUUGAGCCACCUAUAAGGGGGAAAAGAUCAGGCUGGCCUCUGAUUGUUCUAUAUCCUCUAUUUAUAAAAUUUAUAUAUGUUAUAAAUUUCAAGAGAAAACAUGUUUUCCAUGGAUGAUGUAUAAAAUUGUCUUGCGACCAGUACAGAAAUACUGCAAGGAAGGAGCAAAGAUGAGGUCCAGAAACAGGCUGGGGCCUGAUUACGAAACACUGGGGAUAUGCAGGUUUUGCAAUUUAUUUUUAUGCAAUAAUAAACAACAACAACAACAAUAAUCAUUCUGUGUUUUAUAAAGAAAAUGAGAUAUCUGUGUUUAAAAUGGCACAGUAGGAGAGUUUUUCUCCAGUCUCUUCUCUAAAAAUAUCUGAAAAUAAAAAUAAACAGAGAAGAAAACUCCAUAUUUGAAUAGACGAGGAGACAGUUGUAAUGCCGGAGCACAAGACAUGAGGUAGGGUGGCCAGAUUCAGGGAAGGUGAAACACAGGCUGGGGCAUCAAGAGACAGGACGCCUGGAGUGCAAAGCUCCCAGAAUGUUUGCAGGGCGAAACCAACCAUGGCUAAUUUGGAACAAAGGGAAACACACAGACCUGCUGUAUUUGCCAGAAGCAGUUUACCCAUAAAGAGGUGUAGAGAGACUCUGUUAUGGGUAGCACAGAAGUUACCAGUCUGGAUUGCCUGAGGAUAAGUAGACACCGAAAAACCCGAACCCAAACAAAAACCAAACAACAACAAAACAGCAAACAAGCAAAACACCUUGCUAGCACAAAAUCUGGUGUCAAAGGAACCUAACUAUAAACCAGGUACUCUAGAAAUUUCAUCCCUCUUUUAUGAAAUUUCUGCAAUUAGUUGGUGUAAAAAGAACUGAUUAUCCAACAAUGACUAAUACCAAGCAUCAGUAAUUUAUAAUUGGCAACCUAUGACAAAUUGUAACAAAUUAUAAUUGUAAUUAUACAAGGAACCUGGAAGAAGAAUAAAGAAAGAGGGAAAACAAAUGGCAGACAAAAAAAAAAUACUCAUCAGAAAAGGAUUACCUCAGAACAGUUGAAAAUUGUGGCCAAACAUGAGCACCAUUAUACAACUAAAAAUCACAGCGAAGUAAUGCUCCAUUUGAUGGUGUCUAUAAAACAAGAGCUCAGAGAAGAAAUAUACAAAAUUCGGGAAAAAUAUAGCAGGGCAACAGAAGGAGAUGAAACAUAAACUAACAGACUUCGGAGAAGAGGAAAAUAAAUUUUUACUAUUAUAGAAAUAAAAGCUUCAUUACAGUAGCUCCAAGUAGCAUAUGGAUAACACUGAGAAAAGCAAACAAAAUGUAAUACAAAUGAGCAUACUUAAGAAGCCUUAGAAAGAAAUUGAGAGCAAUGGAAGACAAAGGAUAGUUAACACAAUGCGUAAGUGAUUGUGUGAAAAAGAGAACUGAAAUCAGGGGACUGGAGAAAUAUUUAAAGGAAUGUUUAAGAAACAUUUCCAGGAGUAAAAGAGGAUUUGAAUGUUCAGGAGUCACAGAAAAGAAACAAAACAUUCCAGAUAUUUAUUUAUUUAGUAGUAGUAGAAGACUUGAAUCUGGACCCAUUUAUCUAAGAAAAAUUUGACAUGGACUAAUCAACAGCAGUACAUACCCUGGUAGGGUUACUGUUCCACAAAGAUGAAGCAAGAUUCUUUGGCAUGUUUUGGGGGAGGGAGGGUAGGACUUACGCCACCUGUAAGGAGGAAAAGAUCAGACUGGCCUCUGUUCUACAGAACCUUCAGUGUUAGAAGACAAUGGAGCUUUGUUCACAAAAGCCCUAGAGAAAGAAAAGUGUGACUCAAGCAUUUUUUUUUUUAAAUAUACAAGCAACAUACAAAUCUUUUGAAUAAUCAAGAAGGUAGGAACUUUAACUUUAAUGAGCAUUUCUCUAAGAAAGUACUCUAGAACAAACUUCAGCCCAGUGGAAGCUCAAUGGAAAAAUAACAGCAUGAACGUGAAUCCUACUCAGAGAAUUAUGACUAGUACAGGUCUCGUGUAAUGAUUGAGGAGUGAAAAAUGCAAACUAUAAACUCUGACUAUGUAAAAAUGAUGUAACUAUCGAAAUCUGGGAUGGUGAGGUAGUAAGAGGGUAGGAGGUGAUCUCAGUACUGGAAUUGCAACGCUUGAUGUUAAAGGUACAAGAAAUCAUUGAAAUCUGGCAUGUCAACACACGUAAAAUAUAUUUAAAGGAUAAGGAUAAACACUAAGAGAAAUGUUCAAUUAACAAAAAUAAGGCAAUGGUGGGGAUGUGGAAGAAAAAAAAAGUCUAUUAAUUUUAUAGUUGCUCAUAAUGGGAGUAAUUGAUACUGUCUAAAAACAAAUGAUUAAGUAAACUGUAUGGAAUUAUAGCUAUAAAGAAUUCUGUAACAAUAAUCGCCUCUAGGAUUAAGAAAUGGGUGCUGGGAAGACAGCAGAAGGAGGCAUUUUUUACUCUACACUCUUACAUCUUUUGAAUUUUAUGCUAUGUUCAUUGCUUAGCUACUAUAAAAAGAAAGAAUAGAAAAAUACAAAAUAAUGAAAAAAGCAAAAUUAUAGUUAUGGAUGUGCCCAUUAGAACAAAAACAUGAAGUUUUCCAACUAUUAAGAAAACACAUAUACUAAAACUAAAGAAAUUGCAGCCCAUAGAAUGAGAGUAUUUUUAAAGGCAAUGAAAACAUUAGUAAUAUAACAAAAUAGCUGGACAGAACCAAGACCACACAUAUGGCUCAUAUUCAUAAAUGUUGGUGGGUUAGUCUCACCUAAUAACAACAAUAAAAAAGACUGAUUGAAUGGCUAUGCAAAAUACGACUACCUACUGUCUGAAGGAAACUUAUCUAAAACAAAGUGAAGCAGAAAAUUGGGAAUAUAAAGAUGGACAAUUGCAUCAACCUAAUACCAAUUGAUAAGAGACUACGUCUGUGUAAUAAAAAGCAUAAGCUACUAUUUGUAUCAAAAGGUAAGAAAACAAUAUAUAUAAAUAUAUAUAUGUAAAUAAUAUAAAUAUGUAUUGUUAUAUAUAAAAUAUAAAUACUUUAUAUGCAUAGUUACCUGCUUUACAUUUUGGGUUUUUGUACCAAAUGCAUAUAUUACCCAUUGUAAAGAACAAGCAAAUAACUUAUUUUAUUUAAAAUUAAAAAAAAAAUUUAUUUAUUUAUUUGGGGGGGAGGGGCAGAGGGAGAGGUGGAGAGAGAAUCUCAAGCAGAUUCCUCACUGAGUGCAGCACCCAAUGUGGGGCUCAGUGUGGGGCUCGAUCCCACAACCCUGAGAUCAUGACCUGGGCCGAAACCAAGAGUUGGCUGCUUAACUGACUGAGCCCCCCAGGUGCUCCUGCAAAUAACUUAUUUUAAAAAGAAAAUAAUGUUGGUAGCAAUGGGGACUAUGGAUUUGAGGAUAUAGCUGAAGCUUGAGAUAGGAAGACCAGCUAUACCUAGUUGGACCAGCUUAAAUUUGAAAGGAUUAAGGUAGAGGAUGGGGCAGUAGUAAGAAUUGGACCUUGCCCUAAUAUACUGUAAGAUGUAACUUAAAAAAAAAAUAUAUAUAUAUAUGGGGGCGCCUGGGUGGCUCAGUUGUUAAGCGUCUGCCUUUGGCUCAGGUCAUGAUCCCAGGGUCCUGGGAUCGAGCCCCGAAUCGGGCUCCCUGCUCGGCAGGAAGCCUGCUUCUCCCUCUCCCACUCCCCUUGCUUGUGUUCCCUCUCUCGUUGUGUCUCUCUCUGUCAAAUAAAUAAAUAAAAUCUUUAAAAAAAAUAUGGUGUUGUCUUAUUUUAAACCUUAUUUUAUUUUGUGCUUUUGGUUUAAGGUAAAGGAGAAUUUGACAGAAGUCUUAAGAAUCAGAAGAUGCUUCUAAAAACAAUUUUUUUCUGCAUUUCCAUUAUUAGGAAAUAAAUACUCACAGCAGAAAACUUGAAAAACAUGCAGAAAAAGUUAGAGAAGAAAAAUUCCUUUAAUUCUAAUACUGUAGGAUAGCCAGGGUUAUUAUUUUGUGUAUGUCCCACCAUUAUGUUCUCCCCCUUACAAACACAUGCAUGUUUUUAGAAGGAUCAUAGUAUACACAAUUUUAUGGCUUAAAAAAAAACCUUUGUUAUAUUGUAUAUAUUUCUCAAUGUUAUUAUAAAAUACUCUUCUACAACAUUUUUAAUGACUACAUAUUAUUAAAAUUCUUUAUUGUUAGACAUCUGGAUUAUUUAUAAUUUUUUUAAUUUAUAUACAACAUUGCAAUGAAUAACAGUGUACAUACAAAUAUACUUAAAUCUCU